rfam:Spirochaetes bacterium GWC2_52_13 gwc2_scaffold_219, whole genome shotgun sequence.
UGGUAGAUUCUGUGCUAUCGCUCUUCGCCCAACCCCGUCAGGACCGGAAGGUAGCAGCGGUAAGCGAUUGAACGAUGAGCCACAGGCGAUGUAUCGGAG